rnacentral:rRNA from 1 species
UACGUAGGAUGCAAGCGUUAUUCGGAUUUACUGGGCGUAAAGAGGGCGUAGGCGGCCUUUCAAGUCGGAUGUGAAAUCUCCUGGCUUAACCGGGAGGGGCCAUCCGAAACUGCUAGGCUAGAGGACAGCAAGAGGAGGUGGAAUUCCCGGUGUAGUGGUGAUAUGCGUAGAUAUCGGGAGGAACACCAGUGGCGAAGGCGGCCUCCUGGGCUGUUUCUGACGCUGAGGCCCGAAAGUGUGGGGAGCGAACAGGAUUAGAUACCCUCGUA